GAGGCGGUUUUCGCGCGCUUUAAAACGAUAUUAUUAGACCUCGUAUGUCCGUUUGUUUACAUUUAAAAAAUACGUUUAUAAUUGCGUUGUUCUUAGUAGUCUCAGUUUUUACGUGCUAAACUUUAAAAUAAAUUGUGCUAACAUGUCUGGAAGAGGAUUAAGAAUGUUAGCACUCGUUCGAAAUAAUUAACAAAGUGAAAUUCCUGAAGUGGACAGGGUAUUACCUCCAGAACAUUCAAUGCCUGAAACUAACCUUCAAACAGGCCAAAUACCAAAAGCAUCAGAACCUAUUAGUCAAAUCGAAUCUGAAGAAAUCACGUCACUCCUACUUGUCCUAACAGAAUGUACGCCCAAUACCUGUAAUUUAAUAUUAUAAUUUUUGUUGAUAGAA